rnacentral:rRNA from 1 species
CCUACGGGAGGCAGCAGUCGGGAAUAUUGCGCAAUGGAGGAAACUCUGACGCAGUGACGCCGCGUGCAGGAAGAAGGUUUUCGGAUUGUAAACUGCUUUAGACAGGGAAGAAAAAAGACAGUACCUGUAGAAUAAGCUCCGGCUAACUACGUGCCAGCAGCCGCGGUAAUACGUAGGGAGCAAGCGUUAUCCGGAUUUAUUGGGUUUAAAGGGUGCGUAGGCGGAGUGUCAAGUCAGCGGUAAAAUUUCGGGGCUCAACCCCGUCGUGCCGUUGAAACUGACGCCCUUGAGUGAGUGAGAAGUAA